rnacentral:tRNA from 1 species
GGGCCGGUAGAUCAGCUGGAAGAUCACUCGCUUGGCAUGCGAGAGGUCGCGGGUUCGAGUCCCGCCCGGUCCACCA